rnacentral:rRNA from 1 species
AGUUUGCCAUCAUUGAUUGGGCACUCUAAAGAGACUGCCGGUGUCAAACCGGAGGAAGGUGGGGGAUGACGUCAAGUCCUCAUGGCCUUUAUGACCAGGGCUACACACGUACUACAAUGGCCGGUACAAAGGGCAGCGACACAGCGAUGUGAAGCGAAUCCCGAAAAGCCGGUCUCAGUCCGGAUUGGAGUCUGCAACUCGACUCCAUGAAGUUGGAAUCGCUAGUAAUCGCCGGAUCAGCACGCCGCGGUGAAUACGUUCCCGGGCCUU